GAACUUCUAGUGUGUAGAACUGUGAGACAACACAUUUCUGUUGUUUAAGACACACAAUCUGUGGUACUUUGAUACAGCAGCCCCAACAAACUAAUACAUGGGGUGUCUCAUUGUAGUUUUAAUCAGUAACACCCAUUAUGAACUGAAAACAUAUGCUACUUUUAAGAUCCAACUUGAAUGCUUCCUGAUUAAAUAUAUACAGGAGUGAUUUCAGAGGAAUUUAAGUUUUGGAUCAUCCUUUUGAGAAAGAAAAAAAAGUACCCUUUUAAAAGAGACUUUCUUCUGCCACUGCCACUCCUGAGACAACAUGACCAAUCUCUCCCUUUCCUCCUCCUCAGCGUACUUUCAACAUAAAGACGACGAGGAUAAAGGCAUUUAUGAUGAACUACUUCCACAUAAUGAAUAAUUGAACAAAGGAGAGAAUUGUGAGAGUGAGAAAAAGUAAGUGAGACAAAGAAGAAAAACUAUAAAUCAGCAAAAUCCAGUGCCAAGAGCUCUGGACCACAAAUCAGAAGACCUGAGCCCUAAUUCCUUUCCAGUCAUUGGAUUUGUUCAUCGCUUGCCAAAACAGCAGCGAACUCUGUCAAACU
rnacentral:lncRNA from 1 species